rnacentral:rRNA from 1 species
UACGGGGGGAGCAAGCGUUGUUCGGAUUUACUGGGCGUAAAGGGCGCGUAGGCGGCCAGCACAAGUCAGUUGUGAAAUCUCCGAGCUUAACUCGGAAAGGUCAACUGAUACUGUGCGGCUAGAGUGCGGAAGGGGCAACUGGAAUUCUCGGUGUAGCGGUGAAAUGCGUAGAUAUCAAGAGGAACACCUGCGGCGAAGGCGGGUUGCUGGGCCGACACUGACGCUGAGGCGCGAAAGCCAGGGGAGCGAACGGG